UACGUAGGGCGCAAGCGUUGUCCGGAAUUAUUGGGCGUAAAGAGCUCGUAGGCGGCUUGUCACGUCGGGUGUGAAAGCCCGGGGCUUAACCCCGAGCCUGCUUCUGAUACGGGCAGACUAGAGGUAUGCAGGGGAGAACGGAAUUCCUGGUGUAGCGGUGAAAUGCGCAGAUAUCAGGAGGAACACCGGUGGCGAAGGCGGUUCUCUGGGCAUUACCUGACGCUGAGGAGCGAAAGUGUGGGGAGCGAACAGG
rnacentral:rRNA from 1 species